AGGUGUUACCUUUCUUUUCCCCCAAAAGGUGAUUGUGAUGUGCUGCUAGGGCAUGAACUACUGCAGUGAGCAAGCUGAUGCCAAGCAGAGACAAGAAGAGAUGAGAUCUUAAGAAGAGGCUUUGAUUCAAACCCUCCUCUUCUGUGCACUCCCCCACUUUUGGACCACCGCUCCUCCCGUCUGAAGAGCCCUGGGUUUGGUGUGACUGGGUGGCAGGUGGUGUGUGAUGUUUUCGAGUGGCAGUGGUCUCUGGCACCUGGGGACAGCCAUGCCCACACUGACCAGGUAUGUAGAGUGCUCAGCCUUACCUGACAGCAUAUUUGUAACUGAAUACA
rnacentral:lncRNA from 1 species